rnacentral:rRNA from 1 species
UGAGGGGCGGCUACCAUGCAAGUCGAGCGCACCCUUCGGGGCGAGCGGCGGACGGGUUAGUAACGCGUGGGAACGUACCCUUUUCUACGGAAUAGCCUCGGGAAACUGAGAGUAAUACCGUAUAAGCCCUUCGGGGGAAAGAUUUAUCGGUAAAGGAUCGGCCCGCGUUAGAUUAGAUAGUUGGUGGGGUAAUGGCCUACCAAGUCUACGAUCUAUAGCUGGUUUUAGAGGAUGAUCAGCAACACUGGGACUGAGACACGGCCCAGACUCCUACGGGAGGCAGCAGUGGGGAAUCUUAGACAAUGGGCGCAAGCCUGAUCUAGCCAUGCCGCGUGUGUGAUGAAGGCCUUAGGGUCGUAAAGCACUUUCGCCAGGGAUGAUAAUGACAGUACCUGGUAAAGAAACCCCGGCUAACUCCGUGCCAGCAGCCGCGGUAAUACGGAGGGGGUUAGCGUUGUUCGGAAUUACUGGGCGUAAAGCGUACGUAGGCGGAUCAGAAAGUAGGGGGUGAAAUCCCGAGGCUCAACCUCGGAACUGCCUCCUAAACUCCUGGUCUUGAGUUCGAGAGAGGUGAGUGGAAUUCCAAGUGUAGAGGUGAAAUUCGUAGAUA